AGCUCCAAUAGCGUAUAUUAAAGUUGCUGCAGUUAAAAAGCUCGUAGUUGCAUUUCCGAGGCAAGGGAUUAGUCCGACCUUUGGUGGGUAUUUAAUCCUCUUGCCUCGUCCUUGAGUGGUGCUUCUUGGUAUUAAGUUAUCGAGGAGAUAGCCGCUCAUCGUUUACUGUGAGAAAAUUAGAGUGUUCAAAGCAGGCUUAUGCCGUUGAAUAUAUUAGCAUGGAAUAAUAAGAUAGGACCUCGGUACUAUUUUGUUGGUUUGAGAACCAAGGUAAUGAUGAAUAGGGACAGUUGGGGGUAUUCGUAUUCAGUUGUCAGAGGUGAAAUUCUUAGAUUAAGGGAAGACGAACUACUGCGAAAGCAUUUACCAAGGAUGUUUUCA
rnacentral:rRNA from 1 species